rnacentral:rRNA from 1 species
GACGUAGGGCGCGAGCGUUGUCCGGAUUUAUUGGGCGUAAAGAGCUCGUAGGCGGCUCGUUGCGUCAAUCGUGAAAACCCGGGGCUUAACUUCGGGCUUGCGGUUGAUACGGGCGGGCUGGAGUUCGGUAGGGAAGACUGGAAUUCCUGGUGUAGCGGUGAAAUGCAUUGAGAUCGGAAAGAACACCAACGGCGAAAGCACUCUGCUGGGCCGACACUGACACUGAGAGACGAAAGCUAGGGGAGCAAAUGGG